CUUAGGAUGAGCGCUAGCGACAGGCCUAACACAUGCAAGUCGAGGGGCAGCACAAGGAGCAAUCUGAGGUGGCGACCGGCGCACGGGUGAGUAACACGUAUGCAACCUGCCUGUAAGCGGGGAAUAACCCGUUGAAAGACGGACUAAUACCGCAUAAUACUAAAUUACUGCAUGGUAAUUUAUUUAAACAUUUAUGGCUUACAGAUGGGCAUGCGCAUGAUUAGCUAGUUGGAGAGGUAACGGCUCCCCAAGGCAACGAUCAUUAGGGGUUCUGAGAGGAAGGUCCCCCACACUGGUACUGAGACGCGGACCAGACUCCUACGGGAGGCAGCAGUGAGGAAUAUUGGUCAAUGGACGAGAGUCUGAACCAGCCAAGUCGCGUGCAGGAAGAAUGUCCCUAUGGAUUGUAAACUGCUUUUGCAGGGGAAUAAAGUGCAUCACGUGUGAUGUUUUGUAUGUACUCUGCGAAUAAGGAUCGGCUAACUCCGUGCCAGCCGCAGC
rnacentral:rRNA from 1 species